AACGAACGCUGGCGGCAGGCUUAACACAUGCAAGUCGAUCGGUCUCUUCGGAGGCAGUGGCAGACGGGUGAGUAACGCGUGGGAAUCUACCUAGUUCUACGGAACAACAGAGGGAAACUUCUGCUAAUACCGUAUACGCCCUACGGGGGAAAGAUUUAUCGGAAUUAGAUGAGCCCGCGUAAGAUUAGCUAGUUGGUGGG
rnacentral:rRNA from 1 species